rnacentral:lncRNA from 1 species
GUGAGUCAGCGUGGCUGCCCUUGUGCACGCCAGGCUCCUGUCUGUGCUCCGGGGCCUGUUUCCUGGCCUCCCCAGGUAAUUCCCCUCGGCCAAGGGUGAGCGUCCCCGCCCACGUCCCCUCUGCCUGGAGACGUGCGUGCGCUGGGGACAUGAGUCACAGCAGCCCGCCCGUCCUCUGCAUCUGAAACUAUUAUUGGAAUGCCUCUGCGCACAGCACAUGCCUGCUUCCCAGAUUUCACAGGCCCCUGCUCAGGGAUCUGCAAACCACAUUGCUCAGCCCGAGAUUCCACGCGGGUGAUCACGAGGUGGUUUGCUCUAAGCUGGAACUUUUCUAAGAAAGUAGGUUUCUUUAAGCCAGGCAUUCUGCAUUCUUCAAAAAGCGUCAACCACAUGUCUCCAGCGAGCGCCUAGCAAUGUGCCUGCCUUAAUGGGUAAUGCAAAAUAAAUCGUUCUGGAGCUCUGAGAAGGACACAGUAAAAA